UGCUCUGCUCAGUCUUUCAAAAGCCCUUUAAACUUCCACUGAUUAGAGGUGGCUGAACUGAAAACAGAGCUCUGCCCUGGUUUUGAUCAGCAAAUAGAAGCUCAAGUGCUUCUUUGGCUUAAAGUCAGUGAAGAAGGGGACUUGCACCCAGACUGAGACCAUUCUACUUUUUGGAAGGGUCUGCCUCCCACCACCAAAUGCAGAGGGACUACUUCCAGGAAGAGAAAUAUUGAAAAUAGCCUGAAAAAUGAGUCCCCUUGUUGCCAGGUAUUCUUCAAAAAGGCCAAGGAGGGCAUUUUGUUGCUAUGACCACUUAAAAUCAAAAUGUCUUAUUAGAGGAAGGGGACAUCUGCUCUGGGUUUCAAAAUCUCCUGGAAACUUGCUGGGAAGACUGUGUGCAAGUCUACAACACCAACUGAAUGAUUCAAACAGCAAGUAAGAGCUUCAAGACCAAAAGGUUUAAACCACAGAAGACAAAAGCUCAGUUCAUAAACCAGCCCACAAGAGAGGUGCCACUUGAACCGAGUACGUGGUGUGUAACUAAGCACUGUCUGGGAGUCUUUAUUCUAUUGUCACAUAAUCAGUUCAGGGCCAUUUACUUUCAUUUCUAUUUAAAAAUAACUUCAAGCCCUUAAAGUUUGACUCUACUUUCAAACUGAUCAAACUUUCACUGAUUUUAACAUAUACAGAUCCUUUAAUAAUAACUGGUUCCAAACUGAUUUAAUGACUUUUUAAUUAGCACGUUACCAGAACUCUUACAACUGUUGUUAACAUUGCCACAGAUCUCUAAAAAUCCAGAUGGUGUGUUUUGGCAGCUGGGUUGUUUGCUUGACCAGCCUCUUUGGCAUCUCUGUUCUACUGAUCAUUGUUCUUGGGUAGGACU